rnacentral:rRNA from 1 species
UACGGAGGGUGCAAGCGUUAUCCGGAUUCACUGGGUUUAAAGGGAGCGUAGGUGGGGUGGUAAGUCAGUGGUGAAAUCCUGCAGCUUAACUGCAGAACUGCCAUGGAUACUAUCUAUCUUGAAUGUCGUGGAGGUUAGCGGAAUAUGUCAUGUAGCGGUGAAAUGCUUAGAUAUGACAUAGAACACCCAUUGCGAAGGCAGCUAACUACGCGAUAAUUGACGCUGAUGCACGAAAAGCGUGGGGGAUCAAACAGG